UUUUGGUUGUGAAGAACUCUGCUCUGGAUGUUUCCUAACAUGGUCACUCUGACUAAAACGAUCCUUGUUGCUCUAAACAAUCUUUUUUUUUCCCACCAAAGAACUCGAUUUGUCUCCUGUCACCGGUAAAAAUAAACAGACGAGGAGUGAAGCAGAAAGGAGAUGAAUCAGUCCUUGAAUAAGAAUUGAGCAGAACCCGCCAAAACAAUCUGUCUGUGAAAUGUUCCCAGUCUUAUUUGGUGCAAUUUUUCUACGUUUUAUAACUACCUACUUUUAAUAAUGUUUGAAAACUAUCAGCAGAUACUGUAAGAAAUGAUCAUAAAUGUUCUUCCUUGAGCUGUGUCACCCCGCUGUAGUCCGUAAUGGACUGGCCCGAGGUCUCACUACAAACAAGCAGCUGCUGGAAGAGAGUAGGUGAGUUGUGUUUAGUCUCUUUGCCACACACUCAACAAAAAAUUCACUCUACAGCCACAAAUAAUGUUCAGAACAGCACCUAAAUUCAUCAACAGGACAUAUAGGGUCACAGCCACCAAACAUCUUUUUAACUUUGCCUAAUUUCUUAAGCAAAGAGAUUAAACACAACUCACCUACUCUCCUCCAGCAGUCGCUUGUUUGUAGAAAGACUUUGGGCUAAUCUAUUGCGGACUGCUCUGGGGUUACGCAGCUCAAGGAAGAAUAUAUAUGAUCAUAGAAUAUCCCUUUAAUUCUGCAGGAAAAGACAUUUUUGAAUAUGGAGGUUUAUGGAAAUGCACUUACUUGUGAAGUACCCCUCUACUGGGCAUCGGAGGAACUGCAGCUUUUGGCUCUUAAACUUUAAUUUGUCAGUGUAAAAGGCUGCAGCUCGGACAAAAACUGAAAUUUUAAGUCGCAAACAAACACAUUUAUUUUCCAGUGUUUGUAAAAACAUGAAAUAAAUCAUGAAACGUUCAUUGUCUUGUUUAAAGGAAGCUGUUUACUGUGUUCGAUAAAUGAAGACUGCAGCGUUGAAGUAAUUUCCUCUUGAAAAAAUAAUAAUUUUCUUGUCUACUCACCUAAUAAAUCAUGCUAAUUGCUCAGAGUUCAGCUCUCAGACUCGCAGCACAGGACAGUGAGUGAGCUCUAAUGGUCCCUGUGUACACAGAAUCAUUAUCACGUAACAAAAGUGCCACUUAAUUUGAUUUUUGCCCUGUUUGCUCUCUUAUGUCUCAGUCUCUUUUUUCACUGGUGUCAGAAAGAUGAAGAAACAACAUCAGCUGUCUGCCCUUGAAGAUAAAUCCUCCCCACCUGCCUUUU